CCCGCAACCCCCAGACCUUCCAAAACUCCACCCUUUCUCUCCCCACAUCGACGACGGCGGUCUCCUCCCUCCCUCGCCUAGGGCUCCGGUGGCGGCUCCCUCGCCUAGAGGGGCGACCGGAGAACGAUUUUGGGUGUCUGAUUUUCAAGAUUUUUGUUUGCGAUUUUGGGUGUCUGAUUUUUAUUUUCGAUUUGGGUGUAUGAUUUUGGGUGUCUGAUUUGGGUGUUUGAUUUUGGGAGGUCGUUGUUGUCGCCGUUCGG
rnacentral:lncRNA from 1 species